CAGCCCUCCCCCCCAAGUCCCCUCAGCUCCCAGGGGGCCCCUCUCUCUGCCCCCCAGGUCCCAGUUCUCAGCGCGUCCCCCCUCCCCUAUGCCACACUCUGACCCCUCUCCCGCUCUCGGGGGUGCCCCCCUUUUUUUCUUGCGCGCCCCAAAGAGAGGUGUCGGUGCAGAGGGUUGGGGAUAUUUUGGGAGCAAACCUCCCGUGGGCUGGAGCGUUUCAGCCUCCCUGCCGCCUUCGCCCAGAAACCCGCCUGGGACUGGGGAGGAGCAGUUGAAUAUUUGGGUGUGGGGAGAGAUCGGCCCUUCUGGAGCCCCCAUCCCACUGCCCCCCCCCCCCGCUUCCCGCUCUCUGGGUCCCUCUGGUCCCCCAGCCCCGCUUUGUGGGCGCUCAGGCCACCAUGCUCCCCUGCCACCACAGCCCUCUGGUGCCCUCCUGUCGCUGCGCCUUGUGCCACUGAGCCGUGGGGUUUGCUGUGUUGCAGCCAUGGCCUGUGGCGCUCUGGCAGAGGAGCUGGACGCCGUGCUGAGCGGGCGGGGUUGGGAGGUGCAGGAGAGGUACGACUCUGCCCCCGUGCCCGCUCACCCGGUCAGAGUGCGGAAGACGGCCUGCUACAUCGUCCUGGCUGUCCUGCUCAACGACCAGAACGAGGUGCUGAUGAUGCAGGAGGCCAAGCACGAGUGCUAUGGGACAUGGUACCUGCCUGCCGGGAGGAUGGAGCCCAAUGAGACCAUCCUGGAGGCCAUGAAGAGGGAGGUGAAGGAGGAGACGGGGCUGGAGUGUGAGCCUCUCACCCUGCUGGCAGUGGAAGAGAGAGGCUCCGUCUGGAUUCGCUACGUCUUCCUCGCUCGGCCAACUGCACCCAGUGAUCUGCAGAAAUGUAACAUCCCCGUCAACCCCUUCCGUGCCCCAGGCACUGCUGCCCAGACACGCUCUGUUUUCUGCCUAGGUGGGACCUUGAAGGCACCCCAUGAUGCAGAUGCUGAAUCCCUCCAAGCCAGGUGGUGGGACAGAGAAUCUCCUGCCCUUCCUCUGCGAGCUCGGGAUAUCCUGCCUCUUAUGGACCUUGCUGUGCGAUACCGAGACAGCCCAUCCCACCCAGUGAUCUUGCCGGAGGAGAUGCCCUGUGCCUUGAUCUGCCAGAGGCUCCUGGCUACGUUCACCAAUGGUGCCGGUGACUUGUGGGUGCUGCUGAGUGCUGUAGGGGCCCCGCACCUGCCGGUGUCUGCCCGCACCACCUCCCCCUGCAAAAUCCAAAACAGCAUCCAAGCAGCAGCCUGCAGGCUGCUGAAGGAAUGCUGCCUGCUACCGCAAGUGACUGUCCGGGCCCACGGGGUCCUGGGGCUGCAGCACCUGGGCAAGAAUGCAGGGAAAUCUGAUGGCGUUUGCUUCAAUGUGCUGCUCACUGUUACGCAGGGUGGCCAGAGCACCCAGGAGACGCCACCAGAGCUGCAGGGUGAGAGCUUCCAGUGGUGGAAGAUCGAGGAGAGCAACUUGAGAAGUAGAAUCCUCCAGAGGCUCAGCUCUUCGGCCGUUGUUCCAAUUCACAGCUACUGACACAGGGUUUCAUUGAAGCUUGGAUUCAGAGACCUUUCCCUGGGCAUGGGACACACCUCACCCUAUUACGGCCAUUGGCUGUCCCCACGCAGCCAUCCCGAGAACGAUGCAUGGCUUCCCCGCAGGGCACAUCCUACCCAGCCGCUGCCAACCGCAGACCCAUUUCCCCAGCAUGGUUAUGGAAGGCCCUGCUACAGGCCAGGAAGCAUUUUAAUGUAAGGACCGUAAUACACUUCCAAGGGUGGAUAAUCUGGUAUGGCUACACUGUCCCUGCUUCAGGCAACCAUCAAGAAAGCGUGAGAGAAACAAACUGGAGUCCAGCUGAACUGUGAGAAAAUUAAAGGGAAUGCUCUGGGAUAACAUUAAGACAAAUACCUAGGUUUUAUUACACAUGUUUUCACAACCCAAACAUAAGCGAAAACUGAUUUGGUUUAGGAAGUAAAUAUUUCCCUUCAGCACUGUAAAACCAUCAUUGGAGCAUUGAAAAACUGACUAGAAACAGCAGUGAAAUUGACCAGACUUAGAUCACUAUCCCAGCUCAGCACAAUGCAUAAAAAUACCCUAACAGCAGAAAUAAAUAAUGCUUUGUCCUUCUCAUGUACCUUUUAAGGCUCUCACAGUGUUUCACAAACAUUAUUAAUUAAUUUAUAUUGCUUAAUGAACUUCACUUUAAUAAAUUAAGCUUCUCAGCUGCCCUGUGGUGAAAAAAAUCAAUUAGAUUAUUUUUUCAUUUUCAAAAGGUUUGUUAUUCAUCAGUCCUACAACAUGAUGAAAUGGAAAAAACAAGCAAGAAUGAAUCAUAGUAGAGAUAAAGGGAAGACAGUACUGAAUGCAACUGAUUUUUAUAA